UUCCGGUUGAUCCUGCCGGAGGCUACCGCUAUUGGAGUUCGAUUAAGCCAUGCGAGUCGCGAGUCUUAGGGACUCGGCGUACCGCUCAGUAACACGUGGGUAACCUGCCCUAUGCUGGGGGAUAACCUCGGGAAACUGAGAAUAAUACCCCAUAGUUCACCACGCCUGGAACGGUGGGUGGAUCAAAGCUCCGGCGGCAUAGGAUGGGCCUGCGGCGUAUCAGGUUGUAGGGGGUGUAAUGUACCCUCUAGCCCUCUACGCGUACGGGUGUUGAGAGACAUCGCCCGGAGAUGGAUUCUGAGACACGAAUCCAGACCCUACGGGGUGCAGCAGGCGCGAAAACUUGGCAAUGCGAGAAAUCGUGACCAGGGAACUCCAAGUGCAUCGGGUAAGACCGAUGCUUUUCUUGACUCUUCAAAGGUCUUGGAAUAAGGGGUGGGUAAGGACGGUGCCAGCCGCCGCGGUAAUACCGGCGCCCCAAGUGGUAGUCGCUUUUAUUGGGCCUAAAACGUCCGUAGCCGGUCUGGUACAUUCGUGGGUAAAUCAACCAGCUCAACUGGUUGAAUUCUGCGAGCACGGCCAGACUUGGGACCGGGUGAGGUGUGGGGUACUCUCAGGGUAGGGGUAAAAUCCUGUCAUCCUGAGAGGACCACCUGUUGCGAAGGCGCCACACUAGAACGGAUCCGACGGUCAGGGACGAAGCCUAGGGGCACGAACCGGAUUAGAUACCCGGGUAGUCCUAGGUGUAAACGCUGUGGACUUGAUGUUGGGAGUGCUCCGAGCACCCUCAGUGUCGAAGCGAAGGUGAUAAGUCCACUGCCUGGGGAGUACGGUCGCAAGGCUGAAACUUAAAGGAAUUGGCGGGGGAGCACUGCAACCUGAGGAUUGUGCGGUUUAAUUGGAUUCAACGCCGGA
rnacentral:rRNA from 1 species